UGGGGAUAUGGCGGAAUUGGUAGACGCUACAGACUUAUAAAGAUAGAGUCCUUGGAUAGCCAUGCUUCCAAGAAAAUUUGUUGGUUCUUUGAACUGUGAGGGUUCAAGUCCCUCUAUCCCCAU
rnacentral:tRNA from 1 species